rnacentral:lncRNA from 10 species
AAACAUUCAUCAGAAGUAAAAAAGAAGCAACUCCAAAACUUAGAAGAUGCUUGUGAUGACCUCAUGCUUGCAGAUGAUGACUGUUUAAUGAUACCUUAUCAAAUUGGUGAUGUUUUCAUUAGCCAUUCUCAAGAAGAAACACAAGAAAUGUUAGAAGAAGCAAAGAAACAUGCAAGAGGAAAUUGACACCUUAAAAUCCAGAGUGGAAUCAAUUCAGUGGGUGUCAGCAGAUUUGAAAGUUCAGCUGUAUGCAAAAUUUGGGAGAAACAUAAACCUUGAAGCUGAUGAAAGU